rnacentral:rRNA from 1 species
AUGAUUAGCAUAGUAGGGUACUCCAUCAUUGCCAAUGGACACGGCGGCACCCAAGCAGCAGAGAUAACCCAACGGCUGGGAGGCUUUACAGGCUUGGUGCAGAAAGCAUGGCACCAUGCCACAAUUGCAGCGGGCCUAUGGCUAGGAGGGGGACCUGCAGAAGAGGCAGGCAUGAGAGCUUGCAUGAAUGCAAGCAUAUGCUACACGUACACCCAGAAGUGCAGUAACAAUCUUGUAAAGACCACUUCAAGAAAAAUCAGUCACUCAAUGAUUAGCAUAGUAGGGUACUCCAUCAUUGCCAAUGGACACGGCGGCACCCAAGCAGCAGAGAUAACCCAACGGCUGGGAGGCUUUACAGGCUUGGUGCAGAAAGCAUGGCACCAUGCCACAAUUGCAGCGGGCCUAUGGCUAGGAGGGGGACCUGCAGAAGAGGCAGGCAUGAGAGCUUGCAUGAAUGCAAGCAUAUGCUACACGUACACCCAGAAGUGCAGUAUCAGCGAUCAUGAGUUCGCCCACAAAAGCAAUCAGCAGCAGAAUCCUGCCCUCGCCACCAUUGGGGAAGCACCCACGAAAGCAAUCAGCGGCAUCACCUACGAUAAGCAAAGGAGAGCACGACCAAAUCUGCUCUUGGGGUCAUGCAAGAACAUGUGCCGCCGUGGUUCUAUUCUCUCGGCAUCGGAUCAAGGGAAGAUGGUGUUGCCUCCCACGCAGGGGGCGCCCCGUCUCACUAGUUGUUUGCACGACGGAGAAAGAGGGAGGAGCGGGGGAAGGGGAUGUUGGUUGAUGGGUGAUGGGAUUCUGGUGACAGCCACCGAGGUGUGGGGUAGCAACAAAAUCACAGAGGCUGUCGAGCAAAUGUGGAUCCCAUUGGAUGCUAUUGGGUUGGCGAUGUUGUCCAGUCCUCCCGGUUUUGGGAAGAUGCCUACUUUCUUCAUUCUGUUCAGCCCAAAAUUUAGUGAAUUGUCGGGUGAAUUGACACGUCGUACUGUCAGUCAGCGAGUUAGCGUCUGUUGUCCGGUCGGGAGGGUGUUUCCAUGGUCACUAAAUCUUGUGGUCUCCUCCCAACAUAUCUCAGGCUUAGGCAUGGCCUGUGGACUGCUGGUCCGUCACUCACAAAGAAGCGCGAAAGAAAGCACCGGCGUUUCCUUACCACAAGACGGCGAUCAACCCACCAUUGACCCCCUUUCAUCUAACCGCGACGUCCGAUCCACCCCGUGGUGCAGAGGCUCCCUUAUCCAGUGUCGGCAUCUGCUCCUCGUUGCAGUUACUCCUUGUGAUGGACAGAGAAAGCUCAGAAAUGGUUUUCAGAGAAAACUUCGGAGAUGGCAUGGCAAAUCGAUCCUGAAAUACACGCACCUUCGAGAGCGCCGCCACCGCCCGACCCGAGGGUCAGAGUUUCCCUGGAGCAACACGACGGGCAAUGAUGGCCGCGACAACGCCUUCAAGAAGGGAACGAGUUUUGCCGCCGCCGGUCUGUCCGAAGAAAGAACAGGUUUUCACCCCGGCCAAAAGUCAUCGCCACCGGACUUACACUCCGGCGACCAUGCCGCCCACACGACCAUAGUCACCGGACAGCACCAAGCCACGAGCUCUGCCCGUGAGCACCGCAUCACCACCAUCAGGGCCGCCGCCCCGACAUCCAAGACCUCGACGCCACCUCACCCGCCACCCAUCGCUACCCCAACCAAAGAAAUGGGUGGAAAGGCCCCGCCUUUAGCACUCCUGAGCAGCCCCCAGCGCCGAGACCCACUAGGCCGGCCAAAACUGGCCUCCAUCGGCUCGUCCUGCCGCCGGGCGCGAGACGAGCUCGGUCUUGCUGCUGGACGCGAGACAAGUCCGGUCCUGCUGUCGGGCGCGAGACGAGUCGGUCCUGCUGUCGGGCGCGAGACGAGUCCGUGCCCGAACGACGAGGAGAGGAAUCGAUGGUCGACGGGGACACUCACCGACGGGCCAACGCCGAAGAAGUCCGGCCGCCGCCGUGAAACGCCCCCGACCACCGCCGUGAGCCACCACCAUGCCGUGGCAGCCCACAUCCACGCCGGGGCCCCGAGGAACCGCCCAGAGGCCCCACCGACGGCCAUGGGCCAGAUCCGAGGAGCAGGCCGGCAACCGCCACCGCCCCCUCCAGAAGCCGCGACCAUGACGAGCCCCGGCCACCGCCCUGCGCCACCAGCCGGGUCCCCGGCGACAGAUCCGGUCGGAUCUGGCCGAAAACCGGCUCGCCCGCAACCUCCUGCAUCGCCACCGCGUCAGAUCCACCGCCGCCAUGAGAGCGCCCACCACCACCGCGAGGCCCUCCACGCCACCACCACGAGCCAGCAGCCCCGCCGCCGGACCAUGAAACCACGCCGCUGCGCCCCCCAAAGAUCAGCGCCAUCGCCCGAGCAAGGCGCCCUGCAUCGCCGCCGCCCAAGCAGGGAGAGACGAGACCCCACCGCCGCCAACACCCAAUGGGCUUCGCCCGCCGGUGCGAACUGGCGGCGGCGAGGGAGGAAGACGAAGGGGAGGGGGGCCGGCCGGCGGCGCCCUAGGGUUUCCCCCCGGUCGCCCGCGGGGACGACACGGGAGGAGGAGAUUAGGAUCGCACGAGGCGAUCUAGGAGGCGACGAGGGUUCCCUGCGCGCCGCCGGUGACGCCGCCGGUUCCCUCUCUCUCCGCCGGCCGCUCCGGCGGAGGGAGGGAGGGGAACCUCGGGUAUGUUCGCUAGGAGCCAGCGGGGUUGGGGAUCCCCGGAUCUCGUCGAGGUCGCGGGCUAUGGUGGCUGGAGGUCCAUCGGCACUGGCCGUUUGGGUCCUCAGAUGGGCGAUGGAUGCAGGGAGACGAAAACCCUUCUUCUUCCUUGUUGGUAUGAUUUGCUGCUGCUGUUCUUCUCCUUCCUCUGCGCUGAUGCUGGUGGGAGAUCCUGCUUUGCCCGGGCUGAUGGCCCGGCCACGGUGCUGGACCGGUCGGAUGACUCGAGUUCUCUUCCUUCCGAAAGAGACACUUUUCGCGGCACUCAAAGCCAAAGAUGGCGACGGCUGUUGCAGGUAUGUUGGAUUGAUGUCCAUGCCCUCUCAGCGCUGGUGUCAAGAAAGGAGGAAGCAGCAUGGCGGCAAUUGUACCGAGGUCGAAGAUGAUGACCUGCUUGUGACUGGUUACAGAUACUUCUGCUGCAGGGGUCUUCUCUCAAGAUUCAGGGAUGAUGACACAGGGCUCCGGAGAUCUUCUUGUGUUAUGGUUGUCUUAGGGUACUCUAGGUGUUCAUGGUCCUUUGUGUUUGCGUUUCAAUGUGCUUGUUGGCCCAUGGAGAUAGAUGCCUUGGUUCAGUACAUGGUCAUUCAGCGCAGCUCCAGUCAGCUGGAGAAGGGGCACAAAUAUAGAAGGUUAGAACAAAUAGAAGUCACCAGUGUUGUAGUGUUUGUUGGAGUUGAUACGUUGCUUGUUUGCAAUUCAUCCCUGAAGCCCUGCCCUGUAGCUGCAGUCCGAUCUUUGAUAGCUCCCUAUACUUUGCGCCGCAACGCCGAGCAGCUAACCGUGGUGCGAUGGAAGGAAGGACGUGGUCGGCGCAGGCCUGUUUGGUCAUCUUUGUUUGCCAAGGACAACGGAAGCACAGAGAAGUUCAGAACUAGUUUCCAGCGGCACGGAGAAGGAUCCAUAGUCUUCCAAACUCCUGCUCAUAUGCGUCCUAGCUGCUGCCGACUUGCUGGCCUCCGAUGCACUUCAGCUCGGGCCGGCCGGCGCAAGCUGCAUACCGCGGGAGCGGGACGCCCCCUGCUGUCCUUCAAGCGCGGCAUCACCAGCGACCUCUUGGGCGUCCUUGACUCUUGGCACAAGGAAGGCCAAGGGAACUGCUGUCAGUGGAGGGGCGUCAAGUGCAGCAAUCGGACCGGCCAUAUCCUUAGGCUUGAUCUUCGUAAUCGGCAUGCGGAGACACAGACUAUCAAUGAGAACAUCUUCCCCGGAGGGUACUAUGGAGACACGGCUUUGGUUGGCCAGAUAAGUAAUUCUUUGCUCACCAUGGAUCGUCUUGUGCACCUUGAUCUUAGCAUGAAUUUCCUCCAGGGCCCAAGUGGUCGCAUGCCGGAGUUCUUGGGCUCUUUGACGAGAUUGAGAUAUCUCAACCUCUCUGGCAUACCAUUUUCUGGCAGAGUGCCCCCUCAGCUCGGCAACCUCUCAAACUUGCAGCAUCUUGACCUCUCAUGCCAAAUUGGCACAGGACGUAUGUACUCAAGAGACAUUUCAUGGGUAGCACGCAUCCCUAAAUUGCGGUCUCUUGGAAUGAAUUCAGUAAACCUCAGCACGAUAGUUGAUUGGCCUUAUGUUGUCAACAUGAUUCCUUCUUUGAAGGCCCUCAACCUUCGGUUUUGCUCUCUUUCAACCGCAAAUCAUUCACUCCCACAUAUUAACCUUACCAAACUCGAGAGGCUUGAUCUCUCCGACAACACCUUUGCACACCCAAUGGCAAGGGGUUGGUUUUGGAAUUUGACAGGCCUCCAGCAUCUUUACCUUGUCGGCACUCAACUGUACGGUCAAGCUCCGGAUGCACUGGCACAUAUGACAUCCCUCCAAGUCCUUGAUUUGUCAGGUAAUCCUAACAUGGGAGGGAUGAGCAGUACAAGCUUCAAACACCUAUGCAGUCUGAAAAUUCUGGACCUUUCUUGGUGUCAAAUUGUUGAAAAUAUAAAGGAUAUUAUAGGGAGGAUGCCACAGUGUCCCUUGAACAAACUGCAAGUGUUGCGUUUGGGCUACAACAAUAUCAGCGGAAACAUGCCGGAUCAGACAGCACACCUGACCAGCUUAGUCGUUCUUGAUAUCUCUGUGAACAACCUAAAUGGAGGCAUACCGCACGGGGUGGGGCUGCUCUCUAGUUUAAGCAGACUUGAUCUCUCUUCCAACAAUCUCAGUGGACCUGUGCCAUCUGAGAUCGGCAUGCUCGGCAACUUGACCAUGAUGAAUCUUGAAGGCAACAACUUGACUGGUGAUUUCACUGAAGAACAUUUUGCAAGUCUAACGAAGUUAAAGUCGCUGGAUUUAAGUGGGAAUUCCUUGAGGAUUACAGUUGAUCCCGAUUGGAUACCACCCUUCAGUUUAGAAGAAGUAGAACUUUCCUCUUGCCAAUUAGGUCCUUCAUUUCCUGCAUGGCUUCAGUUCCAAGUGGAUGCUCUCCGGGUGGAGUUAUCAAGCACAGGUAUAGUUGAUAGGCUUCCUGAUUGGUUCAACACUACAUUUGCAAAGGUCACAUAUCUGCACAUCUCCAACAAUGAAAUUAGUGGCAGGUUGCCGGCAAACAUGGAAUUCAUGUCACUGCAAUUUUUCUUUAUCAAUUCAAAUACACUAACUGGUGAAAUCCCGAACUUACCAAGAAAUAUUACCUUCUUGGACAUGUCCGAAAACUCAUUAACUGGAAAUUUGCCAUCAAACAUUGGGACUCCGGAUUUGAUUUCAUUGGUGCUGAUCUCCAAUCAAAUAACUGGUCAUAUUCCCGAAUCUCUCUGCAAAGCGGAAGCCUUUUCUGCACCGGCGGCUACUGGAAUAAUUGAUGAUUCUGGGCUUGAGUUCCUGCUCGAUGUCAUUGACAGGUUACGAGAGGAGUUCGCCGAGAACCUUGUGCACCCAGAUCCGGUUCCUCUGGUCUUUUUGCCCAACAGCGGAGCCGGCCUUUCCGUCCCUGCAGACUCGAAUGCUGUGUCUGGAUGCGCUCAACAGCUUGGCGGCGAUGGGACUGGUAGGGCAGCAGUUGGGGUCUGCCUGUCAUCCGGAUGCAUCUGCAACAAGGUCGGCGCAGUCGACUGA